rnacentral:lncRNA from 1 species
UAGCGCAUUCAUAGCUCAAGUGAUCCUCCCGCCUCAGCCUCCCAGGUAGCCAGGACUACAGGUCUGCACCACCACACCCGGCCAUUGGUCUAAUUUCUAAGCAAGGCUGGCACUUGGGUUAAAAGAAACAAUGCAAGUGAAAUAUUAAUCGCUGAGUUCAGCAGCAAGAUUACACUCAGUAAUAGUAGUGCUUUGUUAACAUCUUUAAAGAAUGAAAAGAACAAAGACUGCCCUGGCUAAGGCAGACCCUAAUAAAAGAGUUUGAAAACCGGCUGAUCAGAGUUCAAAAUGCUAGAAGAUCCAAGCCAGAAAUCCUCACCACUGGUAAUUCAAUCUUGUUAAUUCAACAUCUUAAUGCAAAUUAUGAACGAUCUGGAACACAGCUAUUCAUCAAACCAGAUGUCCUAUUUGCUCUUCAAUAAGAAUGUCAGCAAAUCAAAAUCAACUU